AGAGUGAUACACACAGACAUUAACUGGCUGCCACUUCCGAGGAAGGAAGCAGCUUGGGUGACUGCGAGCGGCAGCCGGGACCCAACAGCAGAGCCGCCUGCCACUUCAGCCCCUUCUGCUGGUCCCCGCUCACCUCUGGCAGUGCUCUCCGUCUGAACACCUCUCUCCUGCCGCUCGCCGGCCAGCUUCCCGCAAAUCUUUAAAUUCUGACAGCGCGCUCA